CAGAUCACCUGGCCUGCUGAAGGUUUUCCCGCUGGAUUGGCAGAAGUGCGCCCAUCGACGCCUACCGACACUGCUCAGCUGAUUUCAUCGCCUGGAUCCUGCUCUUCUGGCAACGCUGACCCGGCGUUUCAGCAUAAAACGCCCACUCAACCCAGACCGCUUCGCAGUCGGCAGCGAUACAGUGGCCUGUUAAACUGAUCGCCUGUACUUCCACAGAUCACCUGGCCUGCUGAAGGUUUUCCCGCUGGAUUGGCAGAAGUGCGCCCAUCGACGCCUACCGACACUGUUCGGCUGAUUUCAUCGCCUGGAUCCUGCUCUUCUGGCAACGCUGACCCGGCGUUUCAGCAUAAAACGCCCACUCAACCCAGACCGCUUCGCAGUCGGCAGCGAUACAGUGGCCUGUUAAACUGAUCGCUUGUACUUCCACAGGAUGAAGGCCUACCCUGGAGAUCUGCACCUCUGACCUCGACGUUUUGUGAGGUGGGAAGAAGAUUAAAACAAUUCGCAGCUGUCAUGGAACACAACAUGAAUACAGGGCAACAUUUCCAGUGCACGAAGACAGCGUUGUCACCAGAUGGAAACCCGUAGCUUUGGCUGAAUGUCUCGGAUCUCUUGUCCCGCUCAGCACAGCCAUCGCAAAGUGGACCAUUCGCGACGCAGCCUGUGGUGCUCACCUUGCCGCAGCCCACGGGUCCGAU